rnacentral:lncRNA from 1 species
AAAACUUAACAAAAUAAAGUGUGAUGAAAGGUAAAUAACAAUAAUGAAAAUCAGUCAACAAAUAGUGAAAAUCAAUAAAAAUGAGAACAACCAUAACCGCAGUAAUCGGAAAGAAAAGGAAAAUGGCAAGAUUUUUUAAACAAAAAAAUAAUCAAAAACAAUAAAUAACAAUACCACAUGUGUAUAAAUUCAAAAAUAAGUUACAGUAAUCAAACAUUCUUCGUCUAAAUCUAAAAAUGAAAAAGUCAUUGUUGUUGUAGCUCACUGGACAGUGUUGUUAUUGGUUCAUGGAGGUUGUUGGUUUUAGCUAGAGUUGUGGGUUUUUUGGUGGUGUGAGAAUUUUUCGAACAUAUUUUGCCCAUUUUCCGGUAAAUAGUAGCGACGGAGAGAAGAGGAAGAGGGAAAGGGGCGGUGUCUCUCGGGUCAUUACUUUCGGCGAGAAGUGACGAAAAAUAAAUGAGAAAGAGGGGAGAGGAAGGGCGACGGCUGAAGGUGGGUAGUGGCGCGGUUGAAUCUCGCCGGCCACUACCUCCGGCGAGGCAACGCAAAAAGGAGCGGCGAAAAAGGGGGAAAUUGGUGGUUUGUGUUGUUGACUACGAGGAGGAAGAACGGAGGCAAAGAGAGAAGAAAGUAUUAGGAUUUUCCUUGAAUUUUCUAAUUUACAUGAUUUUCUACCAUAAUUAGAAUUGGGUUUCUUAGUAGAAAUAAUUUUUUCUCUAUUAUAUUUCUAUUAUGUUUAUUCUUUAUUAGAGAAAGAGUUUUGUAACUCUAUAAAUAGAAGAUCUCUCUUCUCAAGUCAUAACACUGUAGUAUCUACAAUGUAGUUGUUUAAAGAGUCUGGUUUAGGGGAGAUAUCUCUUAUAGAUUUAUGUUUUUUCAAAUAUUAGUUUUUAAUAUGUAGGUCGUUCGACCAAAUUAUAUCAAUAAUACGUCAUUUUAG